CUUCUUCUUCACUCAGCCUAAAGAAAACUUUGGAAGAAUGAUGAUAGCGCCUACAUAACUUUGAAGAACAUUCCUAGUUUCCAGCUGACCCAAGACGAGGAUGAGGAACCCUAGAUGAGGAUGAGGAAGAAAGCUUUGGACUGGCGGCAGAGGAGCUAGGAUGUAAGAUAUCAGAAGACAGAGACAGCGAAAUGGUGAAAAUAUGUAACUUUGACUGUAAAUUCUACGGGAGAAGAAAGGGGAAUUCUUCACGUGGGACACAGUCUUGUACCCACAACUUUCCCUAGAGUUCAUGUAUAACAUACGGAUGGAUUCUUUAGCAGCAGAAAGGGAGUGGCAGGACAUGAGAAUCAUUGGACAUCUUGAAGCACACGGUGUACAGUUGAAACUUCAGCGAUGUAAACGUCCACCAAGAAGACACCAACGAAAGAAAACACGUCAAAACAACUUAUUUCAUCGGAGGCAUCAGAGGAAUACCUUUCAGUUUCUCAUGGGGUGAGCAUGCAAUUUGCAAAUCACGCUUCAAGGCUCUUUGGACCCAGCUACUACCACACAGAAGAAGCUGUAGGCCACAUAUGGAUCUCUGCUGGCUAUGCCAACAGAAUAAUGAUCAGCUUAUAAGAAGCUCAAACCUUCCAGAGGAGAGGAAGACUGCAGAAAUCAAAAAGCAACAGGAUCAUCUUCAGCUUGUUCAAAAAGAGAGGAACGUCUACAACGAGAUGAAUGCUGUCUGUAAAAAGAACUGCAACGACUAUCAAUUGUCCAUCGGUACCUCCCCACCUUCAAGUAAGAAGAUCAGGAUGCACUACAUUGUUGACUUUGCACAGCAGGUAUUUCAAUCUGGAAAAACUCACAUAAUAGAGAAACAACAAGAUGACAGUUAGAGAGUUUAUUAAUGAAAGAUUAUCUCUUUGGCGCUCGGACCCCGGAGGAAGACGUAAACGCUGAGUUUGAAUAAACAUCUUAGGUACUGGAAGGUGGCAUAGUGAUGGUCAGGCGUUUGACUAGCAAACACACCUGAGUUCCUGCUUCCAGAAGCUCCCACAGAUCAAGAGUUAUCAGGACUUUAGGUGCUGACAAUGUAGACUGCAUUUUACCUUUACUGUUAUACUGUAAAUGUAUUAUCUAGUAAUAUAUACCGUAUUAUGUAAUUAUCCUAUAAACGGCAAUAUUGAUCUUACCAUGGACUUUAGCCUAUGUUGUGGCUAUGAAAAACACUUGCAUACUAAAAAUUAUGUGUGGCCCAUCGUCCGGAUUUGCGCUAAACGAACUAAAAUAUGGAUCCACCUUGUUGAUGACCACAAGACACCCAAGAUGGUGGACUGGAAGUGAGGCUGCGACUUCAGUGACAUCAAUGAAAACCCCCCAUUGGCAAAGCAGCAGAAAAUCUGGAUCCAUGUAUUUAUUUGAGAUCUCUUUGAAUUCUGUGCACUUAUCUUUAAGCAGGAUCCUGAUGAUUAUCAAAGCAAAAUAAAUCAAUCAGGGCAUUGGAACACCUCCUGGGGGAUGUGUCCCUUGUGUGUCCAGUCUAUUAGGAAGAAGGAAAUGGCUACACUAGCAGUGACAGAUAACUACCAAAUUGACUCAGUAUUAGAAAUUUGACAUUUUAAAAUAAAAUCUAGCUGAUGUAAUUAGCUAUGUUUAAUUUAAUGUAUUCUAUGUGAUGUGAUCCUGACUGCUAAAACAUUUUUGAACCAUUUGCUAAAUUAAUGCAUGGGUUGGACCAUGCAUAAAAUAAAGGGAUUUCAGCCUUG